rnacentral:rRNA from 1 species
AUGGCGGCGACGACGGCGGCAUCGUCGUCGUCCCCGGCUGGCGGCGCCUCGUCGCCGGCCCAGGCACCGGGCGGAGGCGGAGGAGGAGGAGGCGGCGGCGUGCCGUACCACCGGUCGCGGUUCGGCGACACGACGCUGACCAAGGUUUUCGUGGGCGGGCUGGCCUGGGAGACGCCGUCCGCGGGGCUGCAUGACCACUUCCGGGAGUACGGCGAGAUACUCGAGGCGGUCGUCAUCACCGAUCGCGAGACCGGCCGAUCUAAGGGCUACGGAUUCGUGACGUUCCGGGACCCGGAGUCGGCGCAGCAGGCGGUGCAGAACCCGAACCCGAUGAUCGCCGGCCGGCGCGCCAACUGCAACAUUGCGUCCAUGGGCCCGCCGCGACCAUCGCCGCAGAGAGGGAGGGCCCCACGCGGGCCGGAUCAGCAGCACUCGGGCCCGCAGCCAUACAUGGGCGGCAGGAUGCACCACCAGCAGCAGAUGCCCACCCCGCCUCACGCCAUGUUCUACACCCCUUCACCGUACGGGUACUGGUACCCACCUGAUUAUCCAUACCAGCAGGCCUAUUACAAUCAAAUGCAGCAAUACUACUCUCAGCACUAUGGCCAAACAUCCCCUUCAACAUCACCAUACCCAUUCAUGGGGUUCAUGACAAGUGGCCAGAAUCCAAGGGCCGGCUUCUCGCCAUUGCACCAGCAAGCUGCGCGGCCGCCGUUCUUUCAGCAGACGACCGAGGGUUCUUUCCAGGCAGCGCCUUCGCUCCCUCCUAAUUUCAGACUCCAGUUGCCCCCUCGUGCAAUCUCAAGGCAGUCUGAUGAUGUAUCCGGUUCACAACCAACUCAGACAGUAUCCGAGGCUGAGGCUACAAACGCAGAUAACCAAGAAGCUUCAGCGCCUGUUGAAAGAUCAAAUUCAGAGGAAAACACCUCGAACUGA